AGUGAACGCUGGCGGUAGGCCUAACACAUGCAAGUCGAACGGCAGCACAGUAAGAGCUUGCUCUUACGGGUGGCGAGUGGCGGACGGGUGAGGAAUACAUCGGAAUCUACUUUUUCGUGGGGGAUAACGUAGGGAAACUUACGCUAAUACCGCAUACGACCUACGGGUGAAAGCAGGGGAUCUUCGGACCUUGCGCGAUUGAAUGAGCCGAUGUCGGAUUAGCUAGUUGGCGGGGUAAAGGCCCACCAAGGCGACGAUCCGUAGCUGGUCUGAGAGGAUGAUCAGCCACACUGGAACUGAGACACAGUCCAGACUCCUAAGGGAGGCAGCAGUGGGGAAUAUUGGACAAUGGGCGCAAGCCUGAUCCAGCCAUACCGCGUGGGUGAAGAAGGCCUUCGGGUUGUAAAGCCCUUUUGUUGGGAAAGAAAAGCAGCAGGUUAAUAUCCCGCUGUUCUGACGGUACCCAAAGAAUAAGCACCGGCUAACUUCGUG
rnacentral:rRNA from 1 species